UCCUGGUUGAUAACUGGCCAUACUUUCCAAUGAUUCUUACUCUUGUUCUCAUCUCUGAUUUUAUUCCAUUGUUAGCUAUAAUCUGUGGCCACUCCAGCUUUCUCAUUCUCCUUCCAACACAUCAAGCUUUGUCACACCUCAGAGCCGGCGCACUUACUGCUUCAUCAGACUGGGAUGCUUUCUUCAAGAGCUGUCACCCCACGAGAAUGGGGCCAUCGUCUGCCGGGUGCUGCUGCCCCUCACAGAGGAGAUGCUCAGGAAAAGCUUAUUGAAUGGAUGAGUGGUUUUGUUUUUUGAUUGGUUUUUGCAGACAAGGGGCAUGGGAGACAGAAUUUGUUCCUUUAGGUUUGAAAUAUGUUUCAGCUUUGUCUUCUUCACUACAGGCUCGUCGGUUUGCACAGGAUUCUCAUAUUUAAGUGCAGAUCCCUGCAAGUGCACAAUGGGGGUAAUAAAGGCACCCAUCUCCUGGAGUUUUUAAGGGCACUAAAUGAGAAAUAUGCACAAGGUGCUUCUCACCGUGCCAGGCAGCUGUUUCCGGGAUGCUGUGCGAACUUGAUCUCAGAACCAGCAGCAGAAACACUGGUCUCGUCCGUCCCCUAAGAAAUGAGAAGACUUCCUUCAGGAGUUUGAACUGCUUCUAAGACAAUACGGGACAAUGACGUAGAAAUCUAGAAUUAAAAACUAUGUUGAGAGAUUUAUUCAUCCUUCAAGCAUGACCAGAUUGUUCUUCCUAAAUCAAACAUCAUUUUGGCCUUAAAGAAAUCUGAAAGCUCUCCAGUGAGUGUGGAAUAAAGUUGAAACUGUGUGGUUCACUGCUGAAGUCUCUGAUGAGGAGCAGAUGCUCAGAAUCAGGCUGCCUGGACUGAAAUCCAGGCUCCAUCACUAAUCGAUACUAGCAGAGAGACCUGGAACCAGUCACUUCUUAAUCCUUAGUUUAUUCAUCCAUGACACGAGAAUGACGGUGUCUCGUAGCACAGGGCCUGAUGCAUAGUGAACACACACAGAGUAAAUGCCGGUAUUAUGUGGACCUCUCCCUGCAUUUUUAGUCUUCUCUUCCGUGUACCCUUCUUCCAGAAUAGCCAUUCUCUGAAGACAUCUCAUCAUCUCCCACCUCUGUGUCUUUAAUCUGAUGUUUUUAAAGGAAAUCGAGGCUUGCUGAGGUCACAAAGAAUAAACAGCCAAACCUGGACUUGAACUCACCUUUGUUGGAUACCAGAUCCUUGCUUUACCCCACUUCUGCUCUCCAUCUUCUACUCACUUCCACUUUGGUGGACAAAUUUCUAUCAGAUAAGCCCCCUUCCAGGAAAAACUAGGGAAAAAUAUCUGUUUGAAGGUGAGGACGUGGAUGAAGGGAUUGAUGAGCUACCAAGCAGCCCAGACUUGAAGGGUCCAGAGUCUUGAAAGAAGGAAAACUGAAAGAGAGGAGCCUGCCGUUCUGCAUUGCUUUUUCUCCUGAAGCGCUGGCUGCCUCAUAGGAGGAACUAAGCAAGUGGAAAUCGAUUCCACAUUCAUGGCGCAGAAGACUCAAUAUCACCACUUCCCUCUGAAGCAAAUGUCGGCAUAAUCAAAAUGUCAGCAGAUUUGUGUGUGUGUCUGUGUGUGUGGAAAUCAACAAUCUGCUCCAGAUUUUACAUGGAGACACAGAGGGCCGGGAAUACCUAAGGCAAUCUUGAAGAAUAAAGUUGGAAGACUUACGCUACCAGACAAAGCUAUAGUCAUUACAAGAGUGUAGCGUUGGUAGAGAGAGAGAUAACCACCAGAGGUAUCGAAUAGAAAGUCCAGAUGUAGACCUUAGUCAUCAUGAAAAUGGAAAUUAAAAUUAUAAAGAGAGAAUACUACACACUCAGUAGAUUGGCUAUAUCUGAUAAUAUCACAUGUUGGCGAGGAUAUGGAGCAACUGGAACUCUCCUACACUUCUGGGAGAAACGUAAAUUGGAGGUUAAACGAUUGAACUUACUGGUAUUCAAAUAUUUUGACCUGCAAAAACUACAAUUUCCUAAGGUUCAGACUAAUACAACCAUUUUGGAAAGCUGUCAGCAAUUACUAAGGCUGACAUGCACAUAGCUCAUGACCCAGUGGCAAUUUCACUCUUAGGUGUAAAUCCAACAGAAAUGCGUACAUGUGGGCACCAUAAAACAUGAUCAGGAGCGUGCACAGCAGCAUUAUUUGUAAUAGGCAAAAACCACUCGAAUAUCCAUCAUCAGGUGAAUGGAAAAAUAAAUGGUGACGUAUUUAUUCACUAGAAUACUCUUCAACAAUGAAAAUAAACAAACUAUAGCUACAGAUGACAGCACAGGUGAAUAACACUCACAAUAUUGAGUGAAAGAAACCAGACACAAAAGAAUGCGUAUUGUAUAAAGUUCAAAAAGAUGUCUAUGCAUGAUCUAUGGUGUUACAUGACAAUGGUAGUUACCCCUGAGAAGGGGUAUUAAUGAUAGAAAUGGGCACAAGGGGGCGCGGAUCUGGGGGGCUGGUAAUGGUCUAUUUCCUGAUCUGGGUGGAUGUGAAAAUCCAUCCAACUGUAUACUUACGCUUUGUGUAGUUUUAAAAUGCAUUCAUACUUAAAUUAGUUCAUAUUAUUUAAUAAAAAUCAGGAGUGAUAGAGAGCCCCGGAAUGUCAGGGGUGGGGAAGCGCUCCAUUUAUCGUCAUGCCAUGUUAGGGCCCCCUGCUCCAGCUACGACGCCAAGGAGGGGCACGUGUGCGCAGGGGGCAGAAGGCGCGUGAUUGAGUCUCCACUCUCUCGUCCUCUUCUCCCUCUACCAGCAACUGUCCUCACGGCUAAGAAGCGUUAUCUCCUACUCUUAUGCACAUCCUGCCUUCUACCUGCUCGGUGGUUUGUGGUCAACACCAUAAAUGAGCCCUCCCAGGUUUGACUCUUUUCCUGUCCCUCAAUAAACUUUGCUUUUGAAAAUGAAAUUCUUGGUUCUUAUUGUUUUAAGAUCCUAAUUUGGCGGUUAAAGGUUGAACU